GGCGGUCGCCUCCUAAAAGGUAACGGAGGCGCUCAAAGGUUCCCUCAGAAUGGUUGGAAAUCAUUCAUAGAGUGUAAAGGCAUAAGGGAGCUUGACUGCGAGACCUACAAGUCGAGCAGGGUCGAAAGACGGACUUAGUGAUCCGGUGGUUCCGCAUGGAAGGGCCAUCGCUCAACGGAUAAAAGCUACCCCGGGGAUAACAGGCUUAUCUCCCCCAAGAGUUCACAUCGACGGGGAGGUUUGGCACCUCGAUGUCGGCUCAUCGCAUCCUGGGGCUGUAGUCGGUCCCAAGGGUUGGGCUGUUCGCCCAUUAAAGCGGUACGCGAGCUGGGUUCAGAACGUCGUGAGACAGUUCGGUCCCUAUCCGUCGUGGGCGUAGGAAAUUUGAGAGGAGCUGUCCUUAGUACGAGAGGACCGGGAUGGACAUACCUCUGGUGUACCAGUUGUCGUGCCAACGGCAUAGCUGGGUAGCUAUGUGUGGACGGGAUAAGUGCUGAAAGCAUCUAAGCAUGAAGCCCCCCUCAAGAUGAGAUUUCCCAACUUCGGUUAUAAGAUCCCUCAAAGAUGAUGAGGUUAAUAGGUUCGAGGUGGAAGCAUGGUGACAUGUGGAGCUGACGAAUACUAAUCGAUCGAAGACUUAAUCAA
rnacentral:rRNA from 1 species